UACAGAGGGAGCAAGCGUUAUCCGGAAUCACUGGGUUUAAAGGGUGCGUAGGCGGCUAAAUAAGUCAGAGGUGAAAUCAUGCAGCUUAACUGCGAAAUUGCCUUUGAUACUGUAUAGCUUGAAGUGAGCAGAGGUCAGCAGAAUGUAGGAUGUAGCGGUGAAAUGCAUAGAUAUGGACUAGAAUGCCAAUUGUGAAGGCAGGUGGCUGGGCCUGUUUUGACACUGAGGCACGAAAGCGUGGGUAGCGAACAGG
rnacentral:rRNA from 1 species